rnacentral:rRNA from 1 species
UACGUAGGGGGCGAGCGUUGUCCGGAUUUAUUGGGCGUAAAGAGCUCGUAGGCGGCUUGGCAAGUCGGGUGUGAAACCUCCAGGCUCAACCUGGAGACGCCACUCGAUACUGCCAUGGCUAGAGUCCGGUAGGGGACCACGGAAUUCCUGGUGUAGCGGUGAAAUGCGCAGAUAUCAGGAGGAACACCGGUGGCGAAGGCGGUGGUCUGGGCCGAUACUGACGCUGAGAAGCGAAAGCGUGGGGAGCGAACAGA